GAUGAACGCUGGCGGCGUGCCUAAUACAUGCAAGUCGAGCGAACAGACGAGGAGCUUGCUCCUCUGACGUUAGCGGCGGACGGGUGAGUAACACGUGGAUAACCUACCUAUAAGACUGGGAUAACUUCGGGAAACCGGAGCUAAUACCGGAUAAUAUAUUGAACCGCAUGGUUCAAUAGUGAGAGACGGUUUUGCUGUCACUUAUAGAUGGAUCCGCGCCGCAUUAGCUAGUUGGUAAGGUAACGGCUUACCAAGGCAACGAUGCGUAGCCGACCUGAGAGGGUGAUCGGCCACACUGGAACUGAGACACGGUCCAGACUCCUACAGGAGGCAGCAGUAGGGAAUCUUCCGCAAUGGGCGAAAGCCUGACGGAGCAACACCACGUGAGUGAUGAAAAUCUUCGGAUCGUAAAACUCUGUUAUUAGGAAAGAACAAAUGUGUAAGUAACUAUGCACGUCUUGACGGUACCUAAUCAGAAAGCCACGGCUAACUACGUG
rnacentral:rRNA from 1 species